GCUGAGGUAGCUCAGCCUGGGAGAGCGCUCGGCUGAAGACCGAGUUGUCGCCGGUUCAAACCCGGCCCUCGGCA
rnacentral:tRNA from 1 species